CCGUUCCCAUGCGAUCACCGAAGUUAAGCAACAUCGAACCUGGUCAGUACCUAGAUGGUUGACCCUUUGGGAAUACCAGGUGCU